GACAGAGGGUGCAAACGUUGUUCGGAAUUACUGGGCGUAAAGCGUGUGUAGGCUGCUGCAUAAGUCGGAUGUGAAAGCCCCGGGCUCAACCCGGGAAGUGCACUCGAUACUGCGUAGCUUGAGUCUCGGAGAGGUUGGUGGAAUUCUCGGUGUAGAGGUGAAAUUCGUAGAUAUCGAGAGGAACACCGGUGGCGAAGGCGGCCAACUGGACGAAGACUGACGCUGAGACACGAAAGCGUGGGGAGCAAACAGG
rnacentral:rRNA from 1 species